rnacentral:rRNA from 1 species
GCUUGCUCUCGGGUGACGAGUGGCGGACGGGUGAGUAAUGUCUGGGAAACUGCCUGAUGGAGGGGGAUAACUACUGGAAACGGUAGCUAAUACCGCAUAACGUCGCAAGACCAAAGAGGGGGACCUUCGGGCCUCUUGCCAUCAGAUGUGCCCAGAUGGGAUUAGCUAGUAGGUGGGGUAACGGCUCACCUAGGCGACGAUCCCUAGCUGGUCUGAGAGGAUGACCAGCCACACUGGAACUGAGACACGGUCCAGACUCCUACGGGAGGCAGCAGUGGGGAAUAUUGCACAAUGGGCGCAAGCCUGAUGCAGCCAUGCCGCGUGUAUGAAGAAGGCCUUCGGGUUGUAAAGUACUUUCAGCGGGGAGGAAGGCGAUAAGGUUAAUAACCUCGUCGAUUGACGUUACCCGCAGAAGAAGCACCGGCUAACUUCCGUGCCAAGCAGCCGCCGNAAUACGGAGG